AUGAACGCUGGCGGCGUGCCUAAUACAUGCAAGUCGAGCGAAUGGAUUGAGAGCUUGCUCUCAAGAAGUUAGCGGCGGACGGGUGAGUAACACGUGGGUAACCUGCCCAUAAGACUGGGAUAACUCCGGGAAACCGGGGCUAAUACCGGAUAACAUUUUGAACUGCAUGGUUCGAAAUUGAAAGGCGGCUUCGGCUGUCACUUAUGGAUGGACCCGCGUCGCAUUAGCUAGUUGGUGAGGUAACGGCUCACCAAGGCAACGAUGCGUAGCCGACCUGAGAGGGUGAUCGGCCACACUGGGACUGAGAUACGGCCCAAGACUUCUUACGGGAGGACAGCAGUGGGGAAUAUUGCACAAUGGGCGCAAAGCCUGAUGCAGCGACGCCGCGUGGGGGAUGACGGCCUUCGGGUUGUAAACCUCUUUCACCAUCGACGAAGGUCCGGGUUUUCUCGGAUUGACGGUAGGUGGAGAAGAAGCACCGGCCAACUACGUGCCAGCAGCCGCGGUUAAUACGUAUGGUGCGAGCGUUGUCCGGAAUUACUGGGCGUAAAGAGCUCGUAGGCGGCUUGUCGCGUCUGCUGUGAAAUCCCGGGGCUUAACCCCGGGCGUGCAGUGGAUACGGGCUGGCUGGAGGCAGGCAGGGGAGAAUGGAAUUCCCGGUGUAGCGGUGAAAUGCGCAGAUAUCGGGAGGAACACCGGUGGCGAAGGCGGUUCUCUGGGCCUGUUCUGACGCUGAGGAGCGAAAGCGUGGGGAGCGAACAGGAUUAGAUACCCUGGUAGUCCACGCCGUAAACGUUGGGCGCUAGGUGUGGGGUCCUUCCACGGGCUCUGUGCCGCAGCUAACGCAUUAAGCGCCCCGCCUGGGGAGUACGGCCGCAAGGCUAAAACUCAAAGGAAUUGACGGGGGCCCGCACAAGCGGCGGAGC
rnacentral:rRNA from 1 species